rnacentral:lncRNA from 1 species
UAUUCACUACUAAACCCCAAUCAUACAUUUACAAGUUAUUACAAACCAAUGAUAGUCGAAUUACAGUAAUAAAAGUAAAAUUAGAAGUUAUUCUAUAGGGAGCCUUCUAUCAGGCCCAUUCUUCCAACCUCACUCCUUUCGAGUUUCACAACCUUGACAUGGUCAGGGUGCAGUAAAGCUCCCUAGGGCCCCCAUUAGGUCCCUGUACAAUACCAACACCCAAAAACUUACCAAAAUAUUGGACAGGUGAAGUGUGGAAUUAUCAUCCUUGUGUGUUAAAGAUCAGUGAGUACUCAGGGGCACUCAAACCAAUGCUUAUGCAAAGGGGGUAGGACCUAAUUUCUAAGAGUAGUGUGAAGUGCAGGAAGGAGAGGAAAAUUCUUAGUUUAAAGAGUUUAGAAAGAAAAUUGGAGAGUUUCACACAAAAUCAAAGAGAUUUAGGGACCUAGAAAUUGUCAAAUUUAGACAUAAUAGUAAGCAUUAACAGAAUGUAGUCAUAACAGGUAAGAUUUUGAGCAAACAGUAGUCAUGAGCAUGCAAGUAUCAACAGGCGACCAGGGGUCAAUUACAUGUCGUACAGUAGAAGCAUAGGUAGAAAAUAAUUACGAAUAUAACACAUUGAAGUAGUAACUACCACAUUGGUCUGGAACUUUGAAAUUAAUCAGGACAUACCAGUAAUAAGAGAGCACAACACAAUGCAAGAGCCAAAUAUAGGCACAAUGUUAGCCUUGGCUUUCCAGCUAGCUAAUAAUAGUCAGGAGUAGGGGAAAACAAAAGAGAAAGAGAGAAAAGGAGAGAAAUAGCACAAGAGAGAGCAAUAUGUAUUGUUGUGUGUGUUUGUGAUAUGCAAUGUGCCAGUGUCUAAUGCAAAAGAGAACAGGGUUACUUAUUGUACUGAAGACAAGUAAAUAAACAAGGUAGCAAUCAGUAAUUAAGGAACUGGGUAUCAAUCAUAAUCAAAUCAGCAUAAGGACUCCCCUUUAAAUAAGGAAUCAAAGUCAAAAGGGUAAUAAGAAAUUAUUUAAAAGGAAAGAAAUCAUAAAGUACAGUAUGAUCACAGAAGGAAACAAGAUAGCAUAAGGUAUACAAUAAAGAGUAGGUACAUGAUAUUUAAUUAGGGAAAUAGGUGAGACAAAUCAAUCAAUCAUAUUUGUGCACAUAUAAAGGGCAGAAUACUACUUUAAUUCUGGAAAAUAGUUCUCAAAAUAAUGAACCAGAUUGAAAAGCCAGAGGAUUAGUAUUAAUUGAGGAAGGUAUCCCACAAAUUAAGGAAGCAAUUCGAAAUCAAUACCAAACUACAAGGAGAAUACACAAAAUCGCAAUUUUUAAUGCAGGUAUCACAGUCUUAAAGAGAGCUUGUAAGAAUAAGUAUAAAAUCACCAUGUAAAUAAUCAAUAAAAUGAAUGAUACUUAGCCCAUGUAUAAUAAUAUUAGAGAAACCCUAAGCAGAGAACACAGAUAAUUAGGGGAGUGAAACACUAGUAACAAAAUUAAAACAAAGAGCACGAAACUUAGAGAAGAAUCCAAAAGAACACACAAACAAGCAAACAUGAUAAUAAUACACAUAUAAUCCCUAAGACUAGGGUUUCAUCAGACUUAAGCAAAAAUGUUUAGAAAUCGUACUGAGAAUCGUAGAUUAGUACUCAAAAUCUGAAGAUAAAGUAUUUUCGAGAAGGGGUUAAGAUACCCUAGUUUCAAAAGGGAACAAAAACAUUUAAAACUUGAAUAAUUUUAAAGAUUGAGUAGAGAAUAGUGCAAAAUAAAAAGGUAUGUUUAAAAUCGUUUAAAAAUACAUAUAUUUAAGAGUUUGGGUCGAGGUUAAGGUUUCAUAAGAAAACAGAGAGAGAAGUAAGAGAAACCUGGCUGUGAAACUUAGGAACAAUGGUGUUUACAGCACCAUCGAACCAAAACCCAUCGGAGAAAGACCGGAAACAAAACCAGGCAAAACUUCAAUGACCGUCUUGCAUGGUGAAGACUCAUGGGAUCUUAGGGACGAAGGGAGUCGAUGAGAUAAGGCUUCAAGACAGCUGGUGGUCGGAAGGGGCGAGGCUGGAGGUGGCUGGAGAGAUGGUGAAGCCCAUAAGAGAAGAAGAAUUAGAAUGUUCUAGAGAGAAGGAGGAGAGGAAGAGACG